GUGAGGCGGCUGGCUUGCUGACGAAGUCAGCAACUCUAAUGCCAGCCGCCGACCUGCCGCCGAGCGGAGGCGAGGGGGCACUACAAUGU
rnacentral:sRNA from 12 species